GAUGAAGAACGUAGCGAAAUGCGAUAAGUAGUGUGAAUUGCAGAAUUCAGUGAAUCAUCGAAUCUUUGAACGCAUAUUGCGCUCUUUGGUAUUCCGAAGAGCAUGCUUGUUUGAGUAUCAGUAAACACCUCAAAGCUUUUGAUUUUUUUGAAAGCUUUGGACUUGAGCAAUCCCAACACCAAUCUUUUUCAGAUCGGCGGCGGGUUGCUUGAAAUGCAGGUGCAGCUGGACAUUCUCCUGAGCUAAAAGCAUAUUCAUUUAGUCCCGUCAAACGGAUUAUUACUUUUGCUGCAGCUAACAUAAAGGGAGUUUGACCGUAUUGGCUGACUGAUGCAGGAUUUCACAAGGGUCGGCAACGAUUCUUGUUAAACUCGAUCUCAAAUCAAGUAAGACUACCCGCUGAACUUAAGCAUAUCAAUAAGCGGAGGA
rnacentral:misc_RNA from 1 species